rnacentral:rRNA from 1 species
GACGAAGGUGGCGAGCGUUGUUCGGUGUCACUGGGCUUAAAGAGUGUGUAGGCGGAAGGGUAAGCGUCUUGUGAAAUACCUCGGCUCAACCGGGGAAUGGCUCGACGAACUGCCUUUCUUGAGGCAAGUAGGGGUGCAUGGAACUCUUGGUGGAGCGGUGGAAUGCGUAGAUAUCAAGAGGAACGCCGGUGGUGAAAACGGUGCACUGGGCUUGUCCUGACGCUGAGACACGAAAGCGUGGGGAGCGAACGGGAUUAGAUACCCCCGUA